AUUCACCAUCAGCAUUCUCCCCUUCCUGCCUAUCUUUCCCAUCAUGUUCCUUACUGGGUAUCUUCUGAGGAGCCCCAGUAAACCAUUUUCUUGUCAUGGAACCUGCUUCCAACAAGAACAUAACAAGAGGCUGUAUAACCUUAUACAAGUUUCUUCAUCUAAAAAAAAUCUGGAAAAAGGGAAUGAUAGAGCUCUUAUAGGAAGUGGUCAUGGGAGUUAAUUUGAGAUAAUUCUAAAACUGCUCUUCAUGUAUUACCAUGUCUUAUACCCUCAUCCUUCACCCUCUCCAUGCUGAUUCUGGUGAUUGGUCAAAUACAUAUACAGCAAUCAAGUGAUUGGCCACCUCCUUAAGAUCCAGGGGACUAUUUGAGAAUUAUCCAGUAGGAUUGUAGGAGGCAGAGAAUGCCAUGAACGGCAGAGCCACAAUGUGUGUAUGGAUUUACUCCAUGUCCUCUUCCCACAGUCCCAGUCACGUCUCACAUCAGAAGACUCAGCCCAGCGCCACAUGUCCAGUCUGGAGGACGCCGUGGCUCCUGAGUGCCUGGUUGGCGACCCAGUUUGGAGCCUGCUGCGUGCCUGAUCGCAGGUGUCUCCCACCCAAAGUUGGAAUAUAGUUAAGGAAGUGCAGCAGACAAUUAUACAAACAUCACAUCCUUAUGCCCCAGGGUAGAAGGCGAGCAUGACUUCAUUUAUGGCCUUGAAAUAGAGGAGGCGGCAAAGAGGAAGUUGCUUAUUUCAAGGUCUGGCCACCACAAACCCUGCUGUCCUGUAGAUAGCCUGUCAAUACACACAGCCCCAGCCUGGAGAAAAAAUUAAGAGCAACUUGCACUCCAGGGAGCACGUUUAACUUGCUCAAGUGCUUCCUGAUCUUAUUUAAAGGUGUUCUCCUUAGCUACUCUGGCUCAUAGCCUCCCUUGAGAUGUUCCGGGGUGUUCAGGUGAGAGCUGAUUGGCAUGGAAUAGCCAGGAGACUUGGGCGAGGCCAUUGUUUUAGGAAAAGGCUCCCUUAGACCUUGGGUGACGCAGCAUAAGGAGCUGGGAGCAGAAUUCUGGAUCAUGGCCAGCCAAAGCUAUAAUUACCCUCACAGGGCAGCAAAAGUCUGGCCCGUGGGCCAUAUAAGGCCCGUGAAAUCAGUUGGUUGGGCUCUGCCAAGGCGAUUCCAAGUAGGAAUCGAAAUUCAAUAAGUCUAGCUUUUUUGUUGUUGUUCCCCAAAGUGCAAUUAAAUAAAUCUAGGUGCAAAUGGUAUUAUAAAUAUCAAAUGACCUUUGGCAGAAAAACAACAUCACCAAAAACCAAAAACAAAAAACCGGCUCUACACCCGAGCAGGGUGGAAAUGGCUGCUUUAGAAUCUGAAAACACACCUCACAGGCAUCUUUGGGAAAAUCCCUCUUGGGAACCCCCCAUUUCACCACUGUCUUCUGGUCCUGCAAUAGAGUGUCAGUGCUGGGGAUAUUUCCUAUCAGAAAGUCAUCAAAGGCUCCAUGUAGCACUUGGAGGAGCUUAAAAGGGUCCCAUGGUUUACAGACCUUGGCCCCAGCUGAAGAUGCUAUCGUUCUUCCUGCAGGAGAAAAUAUUUUCAUUCUAGGGUUUAUUAGAGCAACACGAUUAAGCUAGUCAGUGGCCAUGGGCACUCUGAUCUCAGCACAAAGUCAAUGCAAGUUCUCUUCGCAUGGUCACACAGAGAAUUCAAGGCUCUGUAAUUAUUACAUGCUCUGGAGUCAUGGAAAAUAGGAAGCACUGGAUUCUGCAGCCAGAAUUCUCCUUAGAAGCAGAUUGGCUAUUGGUCACCCAGCCUUCCAGAGUAUCUCACAGCUUUCCUUUCUUUAUUGCUUUACUCUAAAGGUCUUUCUUCUUCUCUUAGAACUUUUGAGACUAUCAAGGAGAAAACUGAGGGGGGGGAGGGCAAACCCCCAAAUUCUCAGCACAUCAUAACAUGUAUGUGCUGCAGGAAUAUGAGUGUUCGGAAUAGGAUGAGAAUGCCACUUGUGGAUCUUCCACUCAUAUGAAGAACGUGGGGAUACCAGGAAUGGGAAGGCAAGCCUAGACCUUGGGCAAGUGUCGACUCCCAGGGAGAAGACCUGAGUGCAGAUGCUUUGCUGCUUCCUAGAACCGUGCGCUUCUCUUUCCUCAUCAACAUUUCCCCAACUGUGAAACAGAGCAAACCUACCUCAUAAGCCUGCUAAGGACUGGGAGAUGAUUGACAUACGUACAGAUUGAUGUCUGGUAUAUAGUAGUUAACCAAAGAGGAUAGUUGCUCCCAUUCACAAUAGUUAUUUUAAAAUGUUAUUGAAAACAUUACAUUGAAGACGAGCCUUUCUUCAUGACUGGCAACACAAACUGUCAAUCACAAUGCACGUACUUGGCAAAGACACACAGCA